rnacentral:rRNA from 1 species
GAUGAACGCUGGCGGCGUGCCUAAUACAUGCAAGUCGAGCGAAAAGACGAGGAGCUUGCUCCUCUGACGUUAGGGGAGGACGGGUGAGUAACGCGUGGAUAACCUACCUAUAAGACUGGGAUCAUCUGGGGAAACGGGAGCUAAUACCGGAGAAUCUAUUGCAGCGCAUGGUGCGAUAGUGAAAGACGGCUGUGCUGGCACUUCUAGAUGGAUCCGCGCCGCAUUAGCUAGUUGGUGAGGUAACGGCUUACGAAGGGAAGGAUGCGUAGGCGAGGUGUGAGGGUGGUCGGCCACCUUGGAGCUGGGACACGGUCCAGACUCCUACGGGAGGCAGCAGUAGGGAACCGGCGGCAGCAGGCGAAAGCCUUACGCAGCGACCGCGCGUGAGUGAUGACAGUCUUCGGAGCGUAAAGCUCGGUUAUUAGGGAAAAACAAAUGUCUAAGUAACUAUGCACGGCGUGACGGUACCGGAUCAGAAAGCCACGGCUAACUACGUG